AACCUGCAGUUUAUCGCCAGAGGGAUCUGAGGUGCAUCGAGGUUCAUUCAUCAGCUCCCAAGCAAAUAUUGUAGGGUCAUCCUUGUAGGUUAUGUUCGUGAUCGUAUUGACUCUAUUCAAUACUGCCUGCAUUCAGUGAAUAAAGAAACUGUAAGGCCAACUGUCAGAUGGAUUAAUCUUCCGAAUUCGAUACUAGAUUGCACAAAAAAAAUGUUGGUUGGAGCAAUGGUCUGAAAGUUGCCUUGACAUGAGCCUUGUAGUAGCUUCUGAGAGUUGGAUGGGAGAAGAAAUCAUCAUCAGAUGUCAAAUUAAGGCCAGAAGCUUUUCCCCAUUUAACAUAUUGUGCUUUUCCACCAUAUGCAUCCCAAUUGUUAGCCAAUGAUAAUAUGAGCCUGAUCUUGUACUUAUUUGCUUCACUGACCACAAAAUCCAGGGCCUGCAGCUCAAACAAAAUUAUGACACAUAAUAAAGAAUGCAUACCAAAAUAACUUUGGCAUCCUGGCUAUCAGUAGCCUUUGUAAGCUCAGAAACCAGGUAGCAGUUAGAAAUACCUUGAAAACAUCUUCAUCAUAAACACCUGGAGAUUUUUGAAGAGCUCUCCAUUGACCAUCGUUAAAAGCCCAAGUCCUGCAAACUGAUAGACCAACUGAGGAUGCUUUUUGGAAAACCUCAGUGACCUUUCCUCUGGUAGAUUGAUCAGCAGCAAACACCAUCAGCCAGUAUGUGUUAAAUCCAUUGACAUAGAAAGGUUGGUCAUUGAUCACAAACUGGUUUCCUUUCUUUGCCACCAUUAGCCAUUCAUCUUCUUCCACAUCAUUCAACUCAUAAACCCUGCACAUUUGAAUAAUCAAAGCAUAAACGUAAAAAUCAUGUUUUACAGAAAAUUAAAUGAAUUUCUUUUUUUUUUUGUCUUCCUUUAUGGUUACCCUUGACUUGAGCUAGAAGAUGGUAGAUGAUUGUCUACUUCCUCCACCAUUGUUUUAAAUUGUUCAUCAUCCAUAACACCAAAGCUGCUGCAUUUUGAACUUUCAUUAAGAAGAAUAAAAACGGACACUAAGAAAAUGAUCUUGAACCCAAAUACCCUCUUGUGGGUAUCCAUAGUAUUGAGUCAGCAAACCAAGGGUUGCACACCCCACUUCACUGGACCCCCCGUAUUUAUAUGCAUGACCAUCUAAGGCUGUAGCAGAAACUGUGAUAUGCAAGAAGAGUGUUGAAGAGGGGAUCUACACCAUGGCUUUAAAUCCAAGAAAAUUUCAAUUAUUAUACUUUCUCUGCCAUUUUCUUUUCUUCCAAACACAGAUACAUAGAUGGAUAUACACAAGCAAAAGCUACAGACCUAGGUCUAGUUGCAUACUUAAACAAGGCUUCAGGUAUGACUCCUAAGGUAAGUUUUAAGGGUCCUACAAGAAAAUGAGACCCUUUUAAACCUAGAUAACUUGUAGUUCAGAUGACACUGACAUUACUUCAAGGUCACUGCAUCUUUCCUGAAGAACAUGUUGACAUGUCCUAAAACCAACAAACUAGAUUGGUCUCUACACACACAUAUACAUAGACAAACACGGAAAGAAAGACGAAAUCGAUGCAUGCCAUUUCUCUGCAAAAAGAAAUCUGGAGAGUAGGAGAUUGAACAAGUAUAGUGAAGCUGGUAAGCAGGUAAGCAGAACUAAGCUGAUCUGUUGCAAGCUUGACUUGAAUGUUCUGUGACACAUCAUAUAUAUGUGGCAGACCUAGAAAAAAUCCUGUAAAGCAGCCUGGCAACCUUUGAUUGUCCAAACACAUAACCUGUCUGAUUUAUCAACUAUCAUAUGCUUUUUGUUUCUGUCCUGUUUUUGGGUCAAAUUAACAUAUUUGUGCUCUGUUGCAGUCUCAAAGUUCCCAUUAACAACUGGAGAAAACUAUCUUAACUUUGAAGUAACAAAAGGUAGCUCCCAAGGAAUCUUAUGUCCUGCUUUAAUCAUAACAAAGUAUUUGAUAUCAUUAUGUAUCCUGGUAUGACUUCAAGAGUUUAUAUUUUGCAUCAUUUUGCUUUGUUUUUAUUGAAUCAAAAACCUAACAUUGGAUUAAUCAAACUUGAAAUUCAAAAUUUUCAGGGAAGAUAUGAGCUGAAUUCAGCCAUCAGAAGCUUAGAUUUCGAUCCCUUGUUUUUUUAUAAUGAAAAAAAAAAUGUCUACCAUGCAAAAUGUUGUAUCUUAGCCCAGUUGUUUUUUUUUUUAGAACUACUUUUGUUGGCCCAUUAUGAAGCACUCAUCUUGCAUGGCUCUGGUAUUUUUCUAUUUCUAUCUGGGCCUUGCUAGAAUUGUCACCCAAAAGUUCAGGAUUUUUAUUACUUUUCUUCUUCUUAUCAAAUUAAUGCACCCCUGUACUGCCACUUGAAGGUUGAUUUAAUCAAAUUCCAUUGACUAGUUGAUGGAGUCAAAUCCAAGUGAUACAUGGUUGAGUAAUUUUUAAAUAAAAAACAAUAUAAUUUUUAAAUUGAUCUAAUAAAACAAUUACCCUAACCUUGAUGGGACUUAUUAUCAAGACCCAUGCGCUCCUAUGUUCUCUCAAUUAUUAACAACAUCGAUUAACAUGAAAUAUAGGGACUAGAGAGAGGGUUUUACCGUAAAAAUGGGUAUAAUUUACUGAGGAUUUCUAUAAUGAGAUUACAAUUUUAUCCUUUAGUGGAGAAAAUGGAAGGCUUUAUAGUGAGGGUAGUGGUCUUUUCAAGAUAUUCAUUGGUCAUAAAAAUUUACUUGGGGGUAUGUUAUUUUUUUUUUCAAAUUAUUUGUAUAGAAAAAAUAGGCUUUUAUCCUCAAGAUCAACAAAAUUCAAAACUAUAAACCAAGGGUUUUUGCUCGUAUUUUUUUUUUUUAAUUUGGUCUUUAAUUUUUUAUUUUUUAUUUUUUUUAUUGUCCUUUUUGUUAAAGUUUAGUUAACUUUCAAUUUCAUCCUUCAUUCAAAGUUUAUGUUGUUUUAUUUUUAUUAAUUUGACACUCAUUUUUUUUUUCUUGUGUUUAAGUUAUUUUUCAAUUUUGUUUAACCCUCCAAUUGAAAUUUUGUGAUUAUCUUCAAAACAAUUUCUAUAAAUUUAUCCCAGUUUUAUAAUAUAGAUCAUAGAUUUUACAAGAUUUUUUUUAAUACAAGUUUUUAUAAAAUUGUUUUGUUUACAUUUGAUUUUUGAAGAUAUUAUUCUAAUUUAGCUAUAAUAUUUUUUGUUUAUAAAAAUAAACUUUUUUUCAAAAUAAUAAAUAAAUAUUUUUAAAUAAAUUUUCUGAUAUGUUUGGCCUUGUGUAAUAUAUUUUUUAUGGUAUGAAUUUAUUCAAUAAGUUUCAUUUGUGUUUUUAUUUCUAUUAUCAUUUAUUAAUUUAAAUAAACAAGUUUAACAACACAUAACCGCGUAAAUGUUUUAUUCUAUGUGAUUAAAUAUCUUAAUUUAUAUCUAUUUUUUAAAUUUGUUUAUUUUUCUUUUAGUUAUUAUUAAUAAAAAAAUUUAUUUUAAUCAGAUGUCUAAAUAUAUUUUUUUGAUAUGUACUUAGAUUUUUUUUAUAUAAAAAAUUACAUCAAAAUAAUCUUCAUACCUAUUUUUUAUAAAAAAAACAAAACAAAAUUUAUAUCCCGCAGAGUACGGUUUAAAUAGCUAGUCAAGGAUUAAAGUCAAUUUGCUGAGUGCUGGGUUUUUGGUGUUUGUUUAGCGAGUCCUCGAUGUGGUCACAUAAAGGUUUGAGCUUGAUUUGAGUGCUUAAUCACCUAGAUCUCUGCUUUAUUUAUUCUUGUCAAGCUUCAGUUUUGAGCUUGCUUUGUUUCUGUUUUGGGUGUUGAUUUCGUGGGUUCUGAUAAAAAAGAGACGUUAUAGGCUGUUUUGUUGAGGUUGAGUCCAUGAGAAGCAUGGAUAAGUGUUUCUGUGCUUCUGUUCUUGUUCUUCUUUGCUUGUUAUCGUCAAUUCAAGUUAUUUUUGCUGCAAAUUAUGUUCCCACUGAGAAAACCCUCCUAGACUGUGGGGCCACCUCCGAUCAACCUGAUUCGUAUGGUCGAGUUUGGACCUCAGAUAAGGGUUCUUCAUUCUUUUCGUCCUCUGGAAAAUCAUCCACAGCCACUGCUCCUCAAGAUCCUGCCGUUCCCCAAAUUCCCUAUCUAACGGCUCGCAUUUUUCAGUCAAGUUUUACCUAUAGUUUCCCAGUGGUUUCUGGUCAUAAAUUCGUUCGUUUGUAUUUCUAUCCUUCUUCAUACAAUGGCCUUAAUGCGUCCGAUGGUCUCUUUUCUGUUACUGCUGGGUCUUAUACACUUCUUAGCAAUUUUAGUGUUGCUCAAACCACGGAUGCUUUGAAUGAUGUUUCAAUCAUGAAGGAGUAUUUGAUCAAUGUGAAUGGUGAUACAUUGAACAUAACUUUUAGUCCGUCUUCAAAUCCUUCAAGUGCUUAUGCAUUUGUAAACGGGAUUGAAAUUGUGUCAAUGCCGGACAUUUAUAGGAAUGCUAAUGGAGUGAUGAUUGUCGGCCAAGGUGUCCCAUAUGUCAUUGACAAUACUACUGCCCUUGAGAAAGUAUAUAGGUUAAACGUGGGAGGUAAUAGCAUCACCCCAUCUGGUGAUACAGGUCUGUUUCGAUCCUGGUCUGAUGAUCAAAUAUAUCUUUAUGGGUCAGCAUUUGGUGUUCCACAGAGUGCUGAUCCAAAUGUGACGAUUAGAUAUCCUCCAGGGAUGCCCUCAUAUGUUGCCCCAGAUAAUGUGUAUCUCACUGCUAGAUCGAUGGGGCCAACUCCUAAUGUCAACGUGAAUUACAAUUUGACUUGGAUAUUUAGCGUGGACUCUGGUUUCAAUUACCUGGUUAGGCUCCAUUUCUGUGAGGUUUCAAAUAUAACCAAGAUCAAUCAGAGGGUAUUUGACAUCUUUCUCAGUAAUCAAACUGCUGAAGAAGGAGCGGAUGUCAUUGCCUGGGCUGGGGGGAAUGGGAACAAUGGAGUUCCAGUUAUUAAAGAUUAUGUCGUGCAAGUUCCUACUGGGCCUCCACAGCAGGAUAUGUGGCUUGCACUUCAUCCUGAUCUGAAAUCAAAGCCCCUGUCUUAUGAUUCAAUAUUAAAUGGUGUGGAAAUUUUCAAGCUAAGCAGUCCAAAUGGUAAUCUUGCUGGACCAAAUCCAAUUCCUGCUCCUGAACAGGACAUCAAUCCCUCAAGGGCCAGACCAGCUUCUGGAUCUGGUCAUUCAAAGAGCCGAACAGCGAUUAUAGCUGGAGGUGUGAGUGGUGGGGUUGUUCUAGCCGUUGUCAUUGGUUUUUGUGUUCUUGCUGCAUCCAGACGCCAUAGACAAGGGAAGGAGGCAAGUUCAAGUGAUGGACCAUCUGGGUGGCUUCCUUUUUCUCUUCAUGGAAAUUCGAACUCUGCGGGUUCAGCCAAGACAAAUACUACAGUAAGUUCCUCUCUACAUUCAAACCUUUGCCGGCACUUCUCACUCGCUGAGAUCAAGUCUGCCACCACCAACUUUGAUGAGGCUUUGCUCCUUGGGGUGGGAGGUUUUGGUAAAGUUUACAAAGGAGAAGUUGAUGGUGGAACAACUAAGGUUGCAAUCAAGCGUGGUAAUCCACUCUCUGAGCAAGGAGUGCAUGAGUUCCAGACAGAAAUUGAAAUGCUUUCAAAACUUCGACAUCGUCACCUUGUUUCACUGAUUGGUUACUGUGAAGAAAAUACUGAGAUGAUUCUUGUUUAUGAUUACAUGGCUCAUGGAACAUUGCGUGAACAUUUAUACAAAACCCAAAAGCCCCCGUUGCCAUGGAAGCAAAGACUUGAAAUAUGCAUUGGGGCUGCUCGUGGUUUACACUAUCUCCACACUGGGGCAAAGCACACUAUUAUCCACCGUGAUGUUAAGACAACUAACAUUCUUUUGGAUGAGAAGUGGGUUGCCAAGGUCUCUGAUUUUGGGCUGUCAAAGACAGGCCCUGCUUUGGAUCACACUCAUGUCAGCACUGUUGUCAAAGGUAGUUUUGGCUAUCUGGAUCCAGAGUACUUCAGGAGGCAACAACUAACUGAAAAAUCCGACGUGUACUCAUUUGGAGUUGUGCUGUUUGAGAUCCUGUGUGCUCGACCAGCCUUGAACCCAACACUGCCUAAGGAACAGGUGAGCCUGGCAGAAUGGGCUGCUCAUUGCCAUAAGAAAGGCAUUCUUGAUCAGAUUCUUGACCCCUAUCUGAAGGGCAAGAUCACACCAGAAUGCUUCAAGAAGUUUGCUGAGACUGCAAUGAAGUGCGUCUCUGACCAAAGCAUUGACAGGCCUUCAAUGGGUGAUGUCCUCUGGAACCUAGAGUUCGCUUUGCAGCUACAAGAGAGUGCAGAGGAUGGUGGCAAGGGUAUUGUAGGUGCAGACGAUGAGGAGGUUCCAUCCAAUGUUGCCUAUAAAGGGAAAGCUCCUGAUGCUUCCCCCGGUUAUGAUGGUAUUGUGACUGAUUCAAGAAGCAGUGGAAUCAGCAUGAGCAUAGGCGGCCGGAGCCUCGCUAGCGAAGACUCUAUGGCUUAACACCAAGCGCUGUUAGCCAAACAAUGUUUUCUCGCAGAUCAUGAACCCAAAAGGACGAUGAGCUGAUCAAAAAUCCAGGAAGGCAGUUUGCAAUCUACUGUCAAUCGUCAAGUGUGUUUGGCAUUGCGGUAGCUAUUAUGGUUAUGAUUUAAAAAAAAUUGUUUUAUAAAAAGUAUUUUUAGUUGAGAUUAGUUUGAAAAUGGUUAGAAUUGAGGUUGAAGAAAAAUAAUUUUAAUGUGUUUGAUUAUGAAUGCUUUUGAAAUUGAGAUUAUAAAAUAAUUUUAAAAAAUAUAUAUUAAUAUUGAUAGUUUUUAAUUUAAAUUUUAUGGAUUUAACUAUUACUAUUACAUCAUGAAAUAAAUCACAUUUAAAAAAUUACUUUAACAAAAAACUAUCUACAAUUCCAUUACGUAUAAAAUUCACAAGAACUAUAAAAUUAGAUAAAAUAUUAUCAAGAAUAAAAUUAAGAUUACACUACGAGUAAAUUUAAUUUACCUUAAACUAAUUUAAAAAAAACAAAAAAAAUUUUAUUGUUCACGUAGUGAAAUUAAUUAACUAUAUUGGUAAUAAAUAAAUAAAAACUUGUUCAGCGAACAGUGGAGGCAUGCUCCACUGUUCACUGAACAGUCCAUACCUGCACUGUUUUUUUUUUAAAAAAAAAAAAUGUUUAGUGAACAAUGGAGGCAUGCUCCACUGUUCACUGAACAGUGGAGCUGCCAUGCAAAAAGCAGCAAUUUGUUGCUUUUCAUUUUCCUGCGGCGAGAACACAAUAAAUGGAGGGACUCACGCACAGUAAAUAACUUUUUUUAUUUAACCAAACACUGAGGUAGUGUGUUUGUGAAGAAACGCAACUUCUACCUCGUAGCCAAAUGGGGCUCAUUUAACAAACUUAAUGUGGCUUUUUUUUUCUUUAGUUUUCUCUUGUCUAAUUCAUUUAGUUACCUUUUCCCCUCGUUCUGAUAUGUUUUGAUCAGAUCAGUUACUAUAAUUUGUAUCUACAAUUUACCUGAAGAGUGUAAAAUAAAGUUUUCUUUGUCAAUGCUGUGCAGCGAGUACCUACCAGGAGUCUGCAUAUAUGUGCACAGAAGCAAAAUCAACACCAAGAACCUGAUGGUUCCUGAUAAAGUCGGUUCCAACUUGCGUAGCAUAUGAGUUUGGAUUGAACUGAGCCCUAUCAGGAGCCGAUGGUCCAUAAAAUCCCUCCAAUCCAAUCUCUAGAGGGAUCUGAGGUGCAUCGAGGUUCAUUCAUCAGCUCCCAAGCAAAUAUUGUAGGGUCAUCCUUGUAGGUUAUGUUCGUGAUCGUAUUGACUCUAUUCAAUACCGCCUGCAUUCAGUGAAUACAGAAACUGUAAGUAGCCUGGCAACCUUUGAUUGUCCAAACACAUAACCUGUCUGAUUUAUCAACUAUCAUAUGCUUUUUGUUUCUGUCCUGUUUUUGGGUCAAAUUAACAUAUUUGUGCUCCUUUGCAGUCUCAAAGUUCCCAUUAACAACUGGAGAAAACCAUCUUAACUUUGAAGUAGCAAAAGGUAGCUCCCAAGGAAUCUUAGGUCCUGCUUUAAUCAUAACAACGUAUUUGAUAUCAUUAUGUAUCCUGGUAUGCCUUCAAGAGUUUAUAUUUUGCAUCAUUUUGCUUUGGUUUUAUUGAAUCAAAAACCUAAUAUUGGAUUAAUCAAACUUGAAAUUCAAAAUUUUCAUGGAAGAUAUGAGCUGAAUUCAGCCAUCAGAAGCUUAGAUUUCGAUCCCUUGUUUUUUUAUAAUUAAAAAAAAAAGUCUACCAUGCAAAAUAUUGUAUCUUAG
rnacentral:lncRNA from 1 species